GCUUACGGCUAUAUCACCGUGAGCUCGCCUGAUCUCGGAAGCUAAGCAGGGUCCGGCCUGGUUAGUACUUGGAUGGGUGACCGCCUGGGAAUACCAGGUGCUGGAAGCU
ensembl:rRNA 5S_rRNA 5S ribosomal RNA